AGUGAACGCUGGCGGUAGGCCUAACACAUGCAAGUCGAACGGCAGCACAGUAAGAGCUUGCUCUUACGGGUGGCGAGUGGCGGACGGGUGAGGAAUACAUCGGAAUCUACUUUUUCGUGGGGGAUAACGUAGGGAAACUUACGCUAAUACCGCAUACGACCUACGGGUGAAAGCAGGGGAUCUUCGGACCUUGCGCGAUUGAAUGAGCCGAUGUCGGAUUAGCUAGUUGGCGGGGUAAAGGCCCACCAAGGCGACGAUCCGUAGCUGGUCCGAGAGGAUGAUCAGCCACACUGGAACUGGGACACGGUCCAGACUCCUACGGGAGGCAGCAGUGGGGAAUAUUGGACAAUGGGCGCAAGCCUGAUCCAGCCAUACCGCGUGGGUGAAGAAGGCCUUCGGGUUGUAAAGCCCUUUUGUUGGGAAAGAAAAGCAGCAGGUUAAUACCCCGCUGUUCUGACGGUACCCAAAGAAUAAGCACCGGCUAACUUCGUG
rnacentral:rRNA from 1 species